rnacentral:rRNA from 1 species
UGGGGAAUAUUGGACAAUGGGCGAAAGCCUGAUCCAGCAAUGCCGCGUGUGUGAAGAAGGCCUUCGGGUUGUAAAGCACUUUAGGCAGGGAAGAAAAAGCUUGACCUAAUACGUCAAGCCUUGACGGUACCUGAAGAAUAAGCACCGGCUAACUCUGUGCCAGCAGCCGCGGUAAUACAGAGGGUGCAAGCGUUAAUCAGAUUUACUGGGCGUAAAGCGUGCGUAGGUGGCUAAGUAAGUCGGAUGUGAAAGCCCUGGGCUCAACCUAGGAACUGCAUUCGAUACUGUUUGGCUAGAGUUUGGUAGAGGGUAAUGGAAUUUCCGGUGUAGCGGUGAAAUGCGUAGAUAUCGGAAGGAACAUCAAUGGCGAAGGCAUUUACCUGGGCCUAAACUGACACUG